GGGCGCUUGGUUUAGUGGUAUAAUGCUUCAUUUGCAUUGAAGAGGUCCCGGGUUCGAUUCCCGGAGUGUCCA